GCCGGGCGCGGUGGCUCACGCCUGUAAUCCCAGCACUGUGGGAGGCUGAGGCAGGAGGAUCACCUGAGGUCAGGAGUUCGCGACCAGCCUGACCAACAUGGAGAAACCCUGUCUCUA
ensembl:misc_RNA Metazoa_SRP Metazoan signal recognition particle RNA